rnacentral:rRNA from 1 species
CUUGGUCAUUUAGAGGAAGUAAAAGUCGUAACAAGGUCUCCGUUGGUGAACCAGCGGAGGGAUCAUUACCGAGUUUACAACUCCCAAACCCAAUGUGAACGUUACCAAACUGUUGCCUCGGCGGGGUCACGCCCCGGGUGCGUAAAAGCCCCGGAACCAGGCGCCCGCCGGAGGAACCAACCAAACUCUUUCUGUAGUCCCCUCGCGGACGUAUUUCUUACAGCUCUGAGCAAAAAUUCAAAAUGAAUCAAAACUUUCAACAACGGAUCUCUUGGUUCUGGCAUCGAUGAAGAACGCAGCGAAAUGCGAUAAGUAAUGUGAAUUGCAGAAUUCAGUGAAUCAUCGAAUCUUUGAACGCACAUUGCGCCCGCCAGUAUUCUGGCGGGCACGCCUGUCCGAGCGUCAUCUCAACCCUCGAACCCCUCCGGGGGGUCGGCGUUGGGGAUCGGGACCCCUCACCGGGUGCCGGCCCUGAAAUACAGUGGCGGUCUCGCCGCAGCCUCUCCUGCGCAGUAGUUUGCACAACUCGCACCGGGAGCGCGGCGCGUCCACGUCCGUAAAACACCCAACUUCUGAAAUGUUGACCUCGGAUCAGGUAGGAAUACCCGCUGAACUUAAGCAUAUCAAUAAGCGGAGGA